rnacentral:rRNA from 1 species
AUUGAACGCUGGCGGCAGGCCUAACACAUGCAAGUCGAGCGGGGUUUUCGGACCUAGCGGCGGACGGGUGAGUAAUGCGUAGGAAGCUGCCCGAUAGAGGGGGAUACCAGUUGGAAACGACUGUUAAUACCGCAUAAUGUCUACGGACCAAAGUGUGGGACCUUCGUGCCACAUGCUAUCGGAUGCGCCUACGUGGGAUUAGCUAGUUGGUGAGGUAAGGGCUCACCAAGGCGACGAUCUCUAGCGGGGUUGAGAGGAUGAUACGCCACACUGGAAGUGAGACACGGUCCAGACUCCUACGGGAGGCAGCAGUGGGGAAUAUUGGACAAUGGGCGCAAGCCUGAUCCAGCCGUGCCGCGUGUGUGAAGAAGGCCUUCGGGUUGUAAAGCACUUUCAGCGAGGAGGAAGGGGUGUGUGUUAAUAGUACACACCUUUGACGUUACUCGCAGAAGAAGCACCGGCUAACUCUGUGCCAGCCGCCGCCGUAAAAC